GGCGAGCCAUCUCCCCCUCCGGUGACUUCUGUUGGGGUUUCGUAUUAUGAUGGCCAUCAGUAUCCGAUUGAAACCCUCAAAUAUCCUGGUUAUGCCCAAAUCGACCACACCCAAAACAAACAGUGGGAAGACCUUCAUAUCUACCCUUUGAAGAACACCAUUGAUUCGUAUUUUCGACACGAAAGGAGAGCAUAAACCAACACAGAUAGCCAUGCGAGCAAAACAACCUUUCGAACCAUUAUCCUUGUUAUAGUCCACCUUCACAUCGCGACCAAUAAUAUUAC
rnacentral:lncRNA from 1 species